UAUUCAACCCGCGAUCCUUUCGCACAACGUCCUCUCCGGCCGCUUCCUCUCGAGUCGCGACCGCGAUCGCCGCCGCCGCCGAUCUUCUUCUCCGGCCAUCCGCCGACCUCCUGUUCUCCUUCCCCUUCCCCUUCCCAGCCCGCAACCUCCUCAAUCUCCAACCUCCUACACCCGUGUCGUGCUUCUCUGCUUUGGAUCGAGUUGGCCGGAUCGACCCCAUCGCCGAUGCCAAGGUCGCCGGUCCAUCGUCCUGCUCCACUCGUGUGCGCCCUCGACGCCGACGCCCCCUGGUCCUCUUUGCCGCAGCCGCCGCUGUCGGCCUCCGUCACCACGCGCCCCUUUGAGCACACUGGAUGCAAUCUCACAUGUCGCCGUCGUCCGCACUGUCUAAGACCACCUACAGACACAUAAUGGCGGAUCAAGGUGUUUGAUGAAAUGCCCAACCACACCAACAACGCGAAUUUAGUUCUACAUGGUGGAAUCAACGAGGUAGCAUGACCUUCAGCCUUCUACAAGAGGUCAACUCAGUUCAAAUCAUUUAGCUAUGUGCAGUACUAUUGCCAAUCGUCUAUUUAGAUGCUUUUUACAUCAAAAUGGUGAUUUUAUACUAUUUUUGUAUGUGGUUACGGUGAUGGAUAAGAUAAGAAAACAUGUAGUUCAAAUCGCCAUCAAGCACAUCAGUCCUUUGAAUGUUAAGCACAUCGAAUGUUUUCAGUUCGUGCAUCAGUUGCAAGCAAGCCAGAAACAUUAUGUGUUCUAUUUUUGUAGAUCAGAAUCCUAGACGUGCCAGUUUAUAACAUUCUCCCAGUACCUCUGUUCUGCAUAUAUUUCUCAAACUAAUUCUGCCAUCGAUUAGGAGUGACAUCACCAUGACAUUUCCAAGCUUUGUCUUCCAUGCUCGGGUCUCUGAUACCUGAAAUUCUUAGGAGUUCUUUCGAAAACAGUAGAAGAUAAGCUUGUGGUGACUUUGUGAAGUUUUGGCAUUGGACCGUUUGAAACUUUAGAUUGGCAGAGAGCUAGAGACCCUGGUGCUCUGAAGGAUGUUAAAUUUGAGAACACAAAUUAUUGUUGUUAAAUGAUCUUUGCUUCCUUCAUUUGGAAAAGUUAGCGUUGUGGGGAGUUUGAUGUUGCGGUAGGCCUUGGCAGUGGCGAGCUGGGAGCCGGCGAGGUAGGCGACAUCGUUGACAACGGCCGUCAUGGCCUCCACCUGUGCCCUCUUGCAGGUGGAUUGCUGGUCAUUGAUGUGGCGAGUCGGGUUCUUGCAGCAAAAUCUACGAUAUUCUCUGGAUGAGCUGCAGGUAGGCCAGGCUGUUCACGAGGAUCCGACGACGACCGCCAAGGUAUGCCCUCCUCUCCUUGCCCUUGGUCGGGCAUCUCUGAUCAGGUUGUAAUCUGCUGGUGCAGUGUUGCUCUGCUUUGAUUUGGGAAUUCCUAUGGGAUCUAUUUUUGAUUGGCCAAAGCUGGUUUGUUUGCUGCCGUUUGGUUUAACAUGAUGCUAUAAUGCGCUACGGAGAGAUAUGUUAUUCCAGUACAAGCGGCCGGUCAGUUAAUUUGAGGAUUUUUUGCCUUUUGUUCUUCAGGCCUAUAGUGUGUGGUUUCAGUCCGACAGUUAAAACUUGCAUUGGCUUGUUAAACUUCACGUGACCGGAUCAGUAGGGGAGGAUGAUCGCAUAUGGAAAAUACUGCUCCAUGGUACUAAAAUCUGUUAUAGGUGUAGGAAGUCAAUGCUAGGACCUCCUGGGAUGUGCUCAUGCAUGCUUGGUCUGAACCUUUUCUUUUCAAUCAAUUGAUGAACCGAUGACAUCAGAUUAUGCCGUAUGUAUACUCCACUACGUACGGAUAGCCCGCUCGUCGUAUCUCGACAGAGUGAAAACAACUUUGAUCCAUGGAGACGGAUUUCUUUCCUGUUGGUGCAAUUGUAUGUUCAGGUGGUUCUUUCAGGUCCAUUUUCUCUCUAGCUUCUUGAUGUUUUCCUUCUCUCGUGUAAUUUAGUUGCCAUUUGUAAUAGUCAAAUUUUCAUGUCAAAUAUGACUUGAAGAUUUUCUAUGCCAAUUGACAUGUCAUUUAUUUUCUAAUUAACCUAUUAUUGAUGGUGUCUGAUCUCCUUUCUGACAUAUUCCAAGAAUAAGUUCUCAUGUUCAGUAAAUGCUAUUCGGUUGAUUAUUUUGAAUUAUUGCAUUAGGUUAAUAGGAUGUAAUUGUACUUAAAUCUUCUUUUGCACAGGUAUACAAACAACAGUGUAACAACUCUAGAAAUCUACAUCUUAAUACUGCCCUAUUUUCAGGGAUUCAAAUCUCCGGGCUGGAAUCAACAAGCCCACAUAAUCUUCAGUCUUCCACAAUUAUGUUUUGCUUCAUGUUCUAUGAUCAGGUUAUAAUCUGCUGGUGCGGUGCUGCCCUGCUUUGAUUUGGGGAUUCAUUUGGGAUCUAAUUUUAACCGAACAAAGCUGGUUUGUUGGCUGCCGGCUGGUGUCACCUGAUGGUACUGUGCUACGGAGAGAGAUGUUUUUCCAGCAAUAGAAGUGGCCAGUUAGUUAAGUUGAGGAUUUGUGCCAUCUCUUCUUCAGGCCUGUAGCUUGUGGUUUCAGUCAGAUAGUUAAAGUCGCAUUGUCUUGCAGCAGCGACUGACUGCUGGGUUAACUGUUUGUGGUUUCAGUCGGAUAGUUAAAGUUGCAUUUUCA